rnacentral:rRNA from 1 species
UGAACGCUGGCGGCGUGCUUAACACAUGCAAGUCGAACGGAAAGGCUCCUGCUUGCAGGGGUACUCGAGUGGCGAACGGGUGAGUAACACGUGGGUGAUCUGCCCUGCACUUCGGGAUAAGCCUGGGAAACUGGGUCUAAUACCGGAUAGGACGAUGGUUUGGAUGCCAUUGUGGAAAGUUUUUCGAUGUGGGAUGAGCUCGCGGCCUAUCAGCUUGUUGGUGGGGUAAUGGCCUACCAAGGCGUCGACGGGUAGCCGGCCUGAGAGGGUGUACGGCCACAUUGGGACUGAGAUACGGCCCAGACUCCUACGGGAGGCAGCAGUGGGGAAUAUUGCACAAUGGGCGCAAGCCUGAUGCAGCGACGCCGCGUGGGGGAUGACGGCCUUCGGGUUGUAAACUCCUUUCGCUAGGGACGAAGCGCAAGUGACGGUACCUGGAGAAGAAGCACCGGCUAACUACGUG